rnacentral:rRNA from 1 species
GACGAACGCUGGCGGCGUGCUUAACACAUGCAAGUCGAACGGAAAGGCCCUGCUUUUGUGGGGUGCUCGAGUGGCGAACGGGUGAGUAACACGUGAGUAACCUGCCCUAGACUUUGGGAUAACUUCAGGAAACUGGGGCUAAUACCGGAUAGGAGCUCCUGCUGCAUGGUGGGGGUUGGAAAGUUUCGGCGGUUGGGGAUGGACUCGCGGCUUAUCAGCUUGUUGGUGGGGUAGUGGCUUACCAAGGCUUUGACGGGUAGCCGGCCUGAGAGGGUGACCGGCCACAUUGGGACUGAGAUACGGCCCAGACUCCUACGGGAGGCAGCAGUGGGGAAUAUUGCACAAUGGGCGGAAGCCCGAUGCAGCAACGCCGCGUGCGGGAUGACGGCCUUCGGGUUGUAAACCGCUUUCGCCUGUGACGAAGCGUGAGUGACGGUAAUGGGUAAAGAAGCACCGGCUAACUACGUG